GCGGUAAUACGUAGGGGGCAAGCGUUAUCCGGAUUUACUGGGUGUAAAGGGAGCGUAGACGGCAAGGCAAGUCUGAAGUGAAAGCCCGGUGCUUAACGCCGGGACUGCUUUGGAAACUGUUUAGCUGGAGUGCCGGAGAGGUAAGCGGAAUUCCUAGUGUAGCGGUGAAAUGCGUAGAUAUUAGGAAGAACACCAGUGGCGAAGGCAGCCUGCUAAGCUGCAACUGACAUUGAGGCUCGAAAGUGUGGGU
rnacentral:rRNA from 1 species